UAUCAUUCCUCCUUCCUUCCCUGAGCUGAAAGUGGAGGGUCAAAACCCUGAUUGCUUGUUCAUUGGGUUGUGCUCUACUAACGCUGCUCUGCGUCUCCUUUGUCCUUGAAAAAUGGCCUCUACAUUCUUCAGGAGAAUGGCGAAAGCUGUUCCAAUAGGAUUUGGGGGGCAACACAAGUCCAAUUACGGUGCGUUUCGCAUUCCUUUUGGAGCAAUUGCAGCAGUUUCUGGUGGAAUCUCCUAUGUGUACUACUACUCGUCUCCAAACUUGGCUCAUCUUGACCAAGUCAAAGAAGAGACUUCUCCAAAAGUUGGUUAGUCUCCUUUUCCCUCCUCCUUCCUUUCCUUUUUCUCUUUUAUGAAAAUGGAAGAUACUUUUUUAGCAAAUUUAGAUUGGAAGGUAAGAUUCCUCAAGUUGAUUUGAGCGACUCGUGAAAGUAUUGCUAAUUUUUAGAAAAACACCAGUUUAGAUGCCACUACAGAAAAGCAAUUUGAAAUUGUCUUAUAAAUUUUAGAGUUUUUAUGACUAGAGCAUAUUAAAUUUACCUUGAAGGUAAUUUUCAAUGGCCUUUAGUCAACAUAUUAGGAUGUUGCUUUUCUAAACUGUAGUUCCAAUGAAAAAGCUAAACAAACCUGUUUUGAAUUUGAUUAAGUUUUAGCAAUUUUAAUUUGAAAGCAGAAGAUGCGUCCAUUGAAGUACCUGCUUUACCACUACUGGUUUUUUCCUCAUAUGUUGCAAGCUCAAUCCAUGCAUUCUUGUCUCUUCAGCUCUUAAACCAGAUAAGUGGAUUGAAUUUAAGUUACAAGACACUGCAAGAGUUAGCCAUAAUACUCAAUUAUUCAGGUUCUCAUUUGAUCCCUCUGCCAAGUUGGGUUUGGACAUUGCCUCAUGCAUCCUUACAAGGGCUCCAUUAGGACAAGAUGCUGAAGGAAAAACAAAAUAUGUCAUACGCCCGUAUACUCCUAUAUCAGACCCAGAUGCCAAGGGAUAUUUUGACUUAUUAAUUAAGGUUUAUCCUGAGGGCAAAAUGAGUCAGCAUUUUGCCAGCUUAAAGCCUGAUGAUGUUGUUGAAGUUAAAGGGCCCAUUGAAAAGCUUAGAUAUUCUCCCAAUAUGAAGAAACACAUUGGCAUGGUAAGAGCUGGUUAUCUAGAAAUUUGAAGCAUAUCCAAAUCAAUGGCAGAGCCAUGUUGGGAACAGUUGGGGAGCCACGGCCCCCCCAACUACCAACAGCUUCCCGUUAACUUGUUAGAAGAAAUCUUAUUUAAUUAACAAAUACUAUAUAAAUAUAUGAAUAUAAAUAAAUAAUUACUUAAAUUUAUUCAAUGGUUUUAAAUUAUUCGUUAUAAUUUAAUAUGGUUAUUAAAAAUUUUUACGAUUCCAAUAUUUUUCUAUUAUUAGCUUGUAUUAAUUAAAUAAAUAUUUCAUUUUGAUUUAUGAUUUUCAAAAUAAAAAGUAUACUUUAAUGAAUCUUUAUCAGGAAAACAUGAAAUUGACUUUCAUUAUUAGUUUUGUAUAUUCAAAGGGAUUUUCUAAUGAAUCGGUGGUGUUAUUUUUUUUAUUAAUUUUAAUAAUUUGAUUAAUUUCUCAUUAUAUAAUUAAUGUGUCCUAUAUGAGUGUGUGCAAACGCAUACAUACAAGUACUGCACUUAUAAUAUUUGUCAAUAUAUAUGUAUUCUGUUCAUUUAGAUUGCAGGUGGAACAGGCAUUACUCCAAUGCUUCAAGUAAUUGAGGCUAUCCUUAAGAAUCCCAAUGACAACACUAAGGUUUUUGUUAUUUUCUGCAAUCUUUGCCUUAUGCCGUAUUUUACAUUUAUUUCCAUCCCCUCACUUAAUAAAUGAUCGAAUUCGUUAUCAUUGGAUGGACUUGUUGCAAAAGUUUUUUUUCACAUAUGAUAAGUUUCAAGGCCAUUUGUUUUUGUAUAUCCAAUGCAUUUUAGAAACUUUCAUGUUUGGACUCCCCGAUAAAUCAAUCUUGAUUAGUUAUUAUCUCAACAGGUUUCCUUGCUUUAUGCCAAUAUCUCCCCUGAUGACAUCCUACUUAAACAGAAGCUUGACUUCCUUGCUACUAGCCACCCAAAUUUAAAGGUGUCAGUUACUUGAUUUUUCAAAAAUUGAUGUAUUAGCCAAAAAGGGCUAUGUUUCUCCAUUGAAAACUACUAGCUAUUUCUGUGCUAAAAAUUUUGCAGGUAUUCUACACAGUAGACAAUCCAUCAAAGAACUGGAAAGGAGGAACAGGAUACAUAUCAAAGGAUAUGGUUGUGAAAGGCUUACCUGGUCCUAGCGAUGAUACACUUAUCCUGGUAUGUGGGCCCCCUGGAAUGAUGAAGCACAUAUCUGGUGAUAAGGCUAAAGACUACUCGCAGGGAGAGCUCACUGGCAUACUCAAAGAUCUCGGAUAUACUGAGCAAAUGGUUUACAAAUUUUAAUAGAGACAUUUAAGCAUGUUAUUAUCAAAUUUUGAAUAAGGCAAAAGGCUUUCUUUGCCCUUUGAGUAUCUCUAAAAUGUCCUUUAGAGUCAAAUAAGUCAUUUAACUGUGUCCAAAUAAAUUUUAUAUUUUUUAAUUUUAAUCCAAUUAAGUUUAAUUUAGUCGCUUGUAUUACGUGACUGUUAUCUAACAGUUCUAUAAAAUGUUACCCUCA
rnacentral:misc_RNA from 1 species